ensembl:lncRNA
AAACAAACAAAAAGAUAACCAAGUAAAUAAUCUUUGUAAGAGAAAAGUGUAAGUAAAAUAAUCACCUAAUCAUGCUUCAAACUUCCCUAGGAACAGUAAACCUCUGCUUGGCUUUCAUCUUUUCCUGUCAGGUACUUAUACAGAAGACAAGCUUCUGAGACACCAUUUCAGUGGAUCUAUGCUUGAGCUGGCUUUGGAGAUGAUCCAAGGCGGGUCUAGAGAUACUCAUUUACAGAGAAAGGCUGGGACUGCCUAUUUUACUCAGUCAACUCAGUUAAACAAUGAUCUGAAUGUGUCUGAUUUUUGGCAAAGAUAGCCUAGCCUCCCACUACUCCAGAAGGAAUCUUGCACUCUAUUCUCUCAGUUCAAGGGAAAGUUCCAGCAGGGAGAUGUUCUGGUCUGAGGACAAAGCUGUUGCCGGAAAUCACAGAACUUGAUGUUGAAACAGCAAAGACUGUUGUCACAGCUAGCAGUAAAAUCCACCCCUGUACUCAAGUUUCUUACAAAAGUACAUUUAAGUAUUCAUACUUUUCAGUGGGGAAAAAUCCCAAGCCCAAACUAAGAAACAAAACAGCACAAAUCUGCUUCUUGAUAGUAAGCGCAGAAGGAGAACAUUACGUUGGGCAAAGCGUUACUGUGCUGUGGUUUGUGCAAGCAUGCAUGGAGGAGGGAGGUUUCAGAUUAGUUUGAAGAGCAGCUUCUGGAAACUACUGGGCUCGGCAUUACUGAUUUAAUCCCUUGGAACCUUUUCCUUAUCUGCAAUGAAAGAUACACAUUUUAGCAGUAAUUCUAAACCUAACGUUCAAUGUCAGCUAUAACAACAGGCAAAACUAAACUCCUUCAAAACAUUCAACCACAGAUAAACUUUCAAAGAGUUAUGCAUGACUGCCAAGAAGUUAGCUACUGAUAUCUCUGAGCGUUCAUGGGAUAAAUUUGGCUCUCUCGAAGUACUGCCCAAACAGAUGGGCCAGUUGUCAAAGCUAAAAAUGAGCUUCCAAAGUGCGCAAGAAGGCGCAAUGACACUGCCACAGUUCCUGAUGUCACGACCACAAGGAAGAAAACUUAAUGCAUAUUCAGCAUAUUCUGAGAGCGCUGAUACAAUAAAGUCACAAAAAUUACAGAUGGAGCUUGUAGAGGAAACACUACACUGGGAGAUAAGACUUGACCAUGGUUAUAGCCUUGCACUGGAAAAACAACCUACUUACGUUGGAUCAACCGAGUAGGUUCAGUAGAAACAAUUCUUUGCUAUUGCUACUGUGACAGAAGAUGGUGUAAAGGUGUAGUACUGUUUUUCUAUGUGUAACCAUCUUUAAGAAAUUAAAGUCACAUUUUUUAGACAAGUUUUUUUUUUUAAAAGAGGCAAAC